rnacentral:lncRNA from 1 species
AUGUUACAAAGUUUGCUCUUCUUACUGGCCUUCAGUUACUUAAAUAAACACUCCUUGAAGUGUUGCAAACCUUCAAUUUCCAAAGGUCUGAAACUUUGGAUUUUGAUAAUUUUUGCCACAAUUUAUUUUCAUUGCUUUCACGAAAACAGACAUUCUGAGGUUAUCGAUCCGAUUGUGGCCAAAAUCAAGAGGAGCCUGAGCAUGACCAGCAUCACCAGCACCAGUGAGGCCAGCCCCAAGCAUGGGCCUGAGCCAGAACCUGGGGACUCUGCAGAGGCCUGCCCACCCAGCAAGGCCAGCUGCCCCCCCAGCAGGCACAAAGCAAAAGCCAAGUCACUGAACCUCCUCCCCGAGGCCAAGCACCAUGAAAACCCCCAGAGAGGCUUCAAGCCCAAGACCAGGACACCAGAGGAGAGGCUGAAGUGGCCCCAUGAGCAGCUCCUCAUUGAUUACGCUAUGGCCAGAGGCAGUAGAGAAAGGAAUGAACAAAGAACAGAAAGGACCGCUUUGAUGAUCAACCCUCUACCCUCGCUCCACAACCACAGAACCAUGGCACUGGAAGGGACCCCAGGAAUUAAAAGUCACAGGUGGCAGGCCAGAGAGAAGACAUGAGUUGCCUGAGGCUGCCCCAUGAAUCAGUGGCACAGCAGGCACCAGAGCUUUGCUGGGUACACGUGCAAACCUGUAUGACCCCCUCACCAUGCUCACCUGUACCCCCCACCUCCCAGCACACCACCCAUGCCAAGGGCCCCCAGACCUCCCAUUCCACCUUCCCCCAUGCUACGUAUUCCUGUACAGUUCCAGACUCAGGACAUCCUUCUCCUUUAGUAACUCCUCAUUGCACUGCAAUUACAGAAAGGUUAAGUCAGGAUACAGCAGACAGAGCAGCAGCCAGCCGACCAGGAGCAACGGUGGCAGUGACUACUCCACAGUAACACUUCCUCACUCUCAGUCACGCCUGGCAUGUUCCAAAGGCAUGUCCAAGCCCAUGGUGUCAUUUUUUUUUCUUUU